GACGCGCGAGGCGAGCGGAACUCUCCCAGGUUAUAGCAUUUUUUUUGUCCCCUAAAUGAAGACCAGAAGCCCCCACGCAAGAUGAAGAGUCCUUACAAUGUUGGGAAAGCAAAGAAAAGGGGUUAUCUCUUGCAGACCCUUCCCCCAUGCUUGGGAGAGACAUUGGGACCAAAUCACCAUUUGCACAAAAGACUAGAAAUUUGUAAUUGUGGAUAACAAUUUGCAAACAGAACUGGGCCUUCUCACCCCUACCCCCUGCUCUGAGAAGGGCAGUAUGAGUAUUUUAACUGGCCGUACAGUGUCUUCCUGUGCAGACCAAAGAAGGCCUCAGGGAGGUGAUGUGUGUCUGCUGCCAACACAGAAACGCUGAACUAAGUUAUAAUGCUCUGAUUGUCUGCAUCCGAAAAAGAAAGAAAACCCUAAAAAAUAAAAACAUCGUCUCCUAGAAGU
rnacentral:lncRNA from 1 species